GACGUAGGGCGCAAGCGUUGUCCGGAUUUAUUGGGCGUAAAGAGCUCGUAGGCGGCCUGUCGCGUCGACCGUGAAAACCCGCAGCUCAACUGCGGGCUUGCGGUCGAUACGGGCAGGCUGGAGUUCGGUAGGGGAGACUGGAAUUCCUGGUGUAGCGGUGAAAUGCGCAGAUAUCAGGAGGAAUACCGGUGGCGAAGGCGGCAUCCUGGACCGGCAUUGACGCUGAUGAGCGAAAGCUAGGGGAGCAAACGGG
rnacentral:rRNA from 1 species